rnacentral:tRNA from 1 species
UCCCUGGUGGUCAAGUGGCCAAGACUCUAAACUCCCAACGCAGGGGGCCCAGGUUUGAUCCCUGGUCAGGGGA